UGCCCUACGGGGGGCAGCAGUGAGGAAUAUUGGUCAAUGGGCGAGAGCCUGAACCAGCCAAGUCGCGUGAGGGAAGACGGUCCUAUGGAUUGUAAACCUCUUUUGCCGGGGAGCAAAAAGCGGUACGUGUACCGCAUCGAGAGUACCCGGAGAAAAAGCAUCGGCUAACUCCGUGCCAGCAGCCGCGGUAAUACGGAGGAUGCGAGCGUUAUCCGGAUUUAUUGGGUUUAAAGGGAGCGCAGGCGGCCUGCCAAGUCUGGUGCGAAAACCCGGGGCCCAACCCCGGGCCUGCAUUGGAAACUGGG
rnacentral:rRNA from 1 species